UUGCCCGGUGAUUAUAAAAAGACGCGUUAUUCUGAGGAACACAACCUGCUAUCAGUUUCUCCUUCUCUGUUUGCUCUGUCUUUAAUCUCCUCUAUCUUUCCUCUCCCUCCUCCACCUCUCCUCUUUUCCUCACACUGGCAGCAGGUCCACUGACUGCGAUUAUGAGAUAUGAGGGCAU